GAUUAACGCUGGCGGCGUGCCUAACACAUGCAAGUCGAGCGGCAGCGAGUUUUACACUGAAUUCUGGAAGCUUCUAGUUGAAAGAGAAGAUUUAUUCAAGAAUUUUGUGUAAAAUGUCGGCAAGCGGCGGACGGCUGAGUAACGCGUGGGAACGUACCCCAAAGUGAGGGAUAACGCAUCGAAAGGUGUGCUAAUACCGCAUAUGGUCUUCGGAUUAAAGCCUUCGGGCGCUUUGGGAACGGCCUGCGUAAGAUUAGAUAGUUGGUGGGGUAAUGGCCUACCAAGUCGACGAUCUUUAACUGGUUUGAGAGGAUGAUCAGUCAGACUGGAACUGAGACACGGUCCAGACUCCUACGGGAGGCAGCAGUGAGGAAUCUUCCACAAUGGGCGAAAGCCUGAUGGAGCAACGCCGCGUGCAGGAUGAAGGCCUUCGGGUUGUAAACUGCUUUUAUAAGUGAGGAUUAUGACAGUAACUUAUGAAUAAGGAUCGGCUAACUACGUG
rnacentral:rRNA from 1 species